rnacentral:lncRNA from 1 species
UUUUUUUUUUUUUUUUUUUUGAGGCUGAGCGUCCUUAUGCUAUGUUGCUUAGGCUACUCUCAAAUUCUUGAAUUUAAGCACCUCCCUUCCCCAGCUUUUAGCAUAGCUUAGACUUCAGGUAUAUGCCAUUACACUAACCUUUCCUUCAUUAAAAAACAAACAAAAAAAUCAAACGAACAGAAAAAAAAACAUUUAUUUUAUGUGUGUCUUUGUGUGUGUAUGCCCGUGCUCGAGAGUGCUAAUGGUGUAUAUGUGAAGGUCAGAGGACAGCUUUCCAGAGUCGGUUCUCUCUAACAUGUGGGCUCUUGGGAUUAAACUCUCUCAGGUCAGCAGGCUUAGGAGCAAGUGCCUUUACCAGCUGAGCCAUCUCAAGGCCCCAGCCCUACUCCCCAACCCUCUUUUUUGAAACAGUCUUGCUAUGUAGUUCAGGUUGACUUGGCACUUGCUGUAUAGUCCAGGCUGACUCUAAACUCAAGGGACUCCCCUCUUUCUCAACAUCCCAAGUGCUGGGAUUUCAGGUGUGCAUCACCAUUCCCAAACUGUUUUUUUUUUUUAAUUUUUUUUUUCUCCUUUCAAAACUGAAUAAAUGUGGACUGCAAUACCUAGCCGAGAAAAAUAAUGACUAGUUCAUGGUACGCAGUAGCCAAUUUUGAAAAUCCAUUCCUUCUUCCACUGACAUGAGGGUGCUUCAUCUUGCCCUUGCUCUGGAGAGCCAUGGUCCAUCCCUAAGAUCCCCAGGAGCUCGGAAGGGUUCCCUGUCCCUAUGGUGAAGGAUUUGAACCUUCUGGAACAGUGCAUAGUGAAAAGGUCUAUGAUGUGAGCUGUCUGCCUACUCAAGGGGUCACUGAUGCAGGGACAAAGACUGAGAGGUGGCUGUGUGGCUCACACAGCAGAGGAAGGGCUCUCCCGAGAGACUACAGAUUUAAACAGAGAUUCCAGGGCCAGCUUCAAAUCCUGGCUGUCAGUCCAAGCAUACCGAGCCUUCUUUGGUAAGUCCAGGAUCCUUACCUGAAUCGCUUGGAGAACAGUACCCAGCUCAUAGUUAGGAGGAUUAAACUCAGGAACAGGAUUUAAUGGACAACCUAGCCUGCUGUACUGAGAAGCACAGAACCAAAUACCAUUGGGCUCUUUGUAAGAUUUUUUUCAUAUUCACUUAGUAUGACCAAAAACAUGAACAUCUGCAUUUGUUCCCAUAUUUCUUUCUUUCUUUUUUCAUUUUUUUUGAGACAGGGUCUCUCUGUCUCUCUGUCUCUCUAUCUCUCUGUCUCUCUGUCUCUCUGUCUCUCUGUCUCUCUGUCUCUCUGUCUCUCUGUCUCUCUCUCUCUCUCUCUCUCUCUCUCUCUAGUCCUGGCUGUUCUGGAAUUCACUCUCUAUACCAGGGGCUGGUCUCAAACUCUGAGACCAUCUGCCUCUGCCUCCUGAGUGCUGGAAUUAAAGGCAUCCGCCUCCCUGUAGGCCUUGGCUGCCAUUUUCAAGUGUUUUGGGUCUCUGUUACUCUGUGUUGACAAUUUCAACUCAGCAUCCUGUUUGUGAGACUCAUUAUCAGGUACAGAGACACCGUGGUGACUUUUGUUUAUCCAACAGUUGAUAGUGAAAGCACACAGAGCCUGACUUUCUUAUCCUUGGGAAAAUAGAGGAGGGAGGAGAAACCGGCAGGCACCCAGUCUUUGAGUCUCUAACUGAAGAGUUGGCUCCUGGCAGAGCAGGGGGAGUGGAUGCCCCGCUCAGUCUCCUUUGAGUGACAGUGAUCGAGGGCAGUUCUCUCAGUUAAGGACUUCAUAUGUGGAUUAUUUUAAUCCCAGAUAGCAAAAGGCCCUCUGCGUUCUAGUAACGAUAACACUAAUGGCUACUUUCCUGUGCUGGCAGAUUAGACACGGUUGCAUGCUCAGCACGUGAACUCUACCCUCUCCACUGCUAUACCCUCGGCUUGAAAAACUACAGAUAAAGUAAUGAAGAUAAUUUUUUAUUAAAGAGUUCCCCCAAGGUGUUCUAGGAUGUAGACUUGGGGUGCAAGCAGCCUUUAGAACGGUGGUUCUCAACCUCCCCAAUGCUGUGACCUUUUAGUACAGUUCCUCAUGUUGCGAGGACCCCCCCAACCAUAAAAUUAUUUUCACUGCCACUUCAUAAAUGUCAUUUUACUACUGCUAACGAAUCGUAAUGUAAAUAUUUUCUGAGACAGAGGUUUGCCAAAGGGGUCACAACCUAUAGCUUGAGAACGGCUGCUCCCUAGAACAUUCUUCACUCUGUUCCUGUUUGUCUGUUGGGUGGGUGUUCCCCACCCAAGAGUGAGUUGACUUCAAGGCAACCGGACCCAUUAUCAGUGAGGAGAAGAAAGAAAAUGAGCAGCCCAGCCCCAACAAUAGGCUUUUAAAAUUCCUUGUACACAGACCUGGUUAAAAAGGCAUCUGAGGGGGGUGGGUGUGAACUGGGAACUUCCUCCUCCACCCUGAGCAAAGCUGUAAGCUAAUACUGUGAGAGAGAAGAAAUGUGCGGGUCUCAACUUUCCCCAGGGUAUCACUUUGUAGUUUUGUUUACUGGGAUUAAUAAAUACUUCCCUCCAAAUGCCCUGAUAGUUUGUGCUUCAGUUGGGAAAUUUCAGUUGGAGUUUUGCUUAAGGCCGGGGUGGGGGGGGGGGGCGGGGGGUACUUCUUGGAUCCUCCUGGGGGCUCUUUCGACAUCUUAUCCCUGUGUUAUUUUAUGUCAGCAUCCCUCUUCCCUUAGUAACCCCCUUCCUGUUCUAUUAGCAUUCCUCCCUCCCUCCUCUUCCCUCUUUUCCUUAAG